rnacentral:rRNA from 1 species
AUUGAACGCUGGCGGCAGGCCCAACACAUGCAAGUCGAGCGGAUGAAGGGAGCUUGCUCCCUGAUUUAGCGGCGGACGGGUGAGUAAUGCCUAGGAAUCUGCCUGGUAGUGGGGGACAACGUUUCGAAAGGAACGCUAAUACCGCAUACGUCCUACGGGAGAAAGUGGGGGAUCUUCGGACCUCACGCUAUCAGAUGAGCCUAGGUCGGAUUAGCUAGUUGGUGAGGUAAAGGCUCACCAAGGCGACGAUCCGUAACUGGUCUGAGAGGAUGAUCAGUCACACUGGAACUGAGACACGGUCCAGACUCCUACGGGAGGCAGCAGUGGGGAAUAUUGGACAAUGGGCGAAAGCCUGAUCCAGCCAUGCCGCGUGUGUGAAGAAGGUCUUCGGAUUGUAAAGCACUUUAAGUUGGGAGGAAGGGCAGUAAGUUAAUACCUUGCUGUUUUGACGUUACCAACAGAAUAAGCACCGGCUAACUUCGUGCCAGCAGCCGCAGUAAGAC